rnacentral:rRNA from 1 species
AUGUGUUCCACCAUGGAGCGCUCCAUGAGUCUGCUCAUGCAACCCAACAAGAAGGUGAGAUCAGGCUGUGUGUGGACGAGGUACUGCAGACUUCCCAUGUUCUGCCGGUAUGUUGUGGCAUCAAUCUCCUCUGCGGUGCUCUCACAACUCAAUUUGAGUCACUCCUCCAUGGGUGUGGACAAGGGAUCGCAGUUCCUCAGCCCAGCUAUGUCAAGGAUGCGCCUGACGACUUCCACUGAUUCAAAGUGCCCCAUCUUUGCCUUCGGUGUAACUCAAUCCCAGGUAGAAGGAGAUGAGCUCAAGAUCACCUAUAAGAAAUUCCGUCUUCAUUUCUUCCUUGAAUCGGUGAUCUCAUCAUGA